CCCUUCCACACAAUAUAUACAUCCCCCUCCACACAAUAUAUACAUCCUCCCAAAAUAUAUACACUCCCCCACACAAUAUACACACCCUCCACAAUAUAUACAUCCCUCACAAUAUAUACACCCUAAACAAUAUAUACAUCACAUACGAUAUAUAAUCUCCCUCUACACAAUAUCCCACACUAUAUACAUCCCCCACACAAUAUAUACAUCCUUCCACAAUAUAUACAUCCUCCCACAAUAUACACAUCCGCCACACAAUAUAUACAUCCCCCAAAAUAUAUACACCCCCCACAAUGUAUACACCCCACACAAUAUACACACUCCCCACAAUAUAUACACCCCACACAAUAUAUACUCCCCCACAUAAUAUAUACACCCACACACAAUGUAUACACCCCACACACAAAUCGUUAGUUUAAAUUUUAGAGGAAAAUGUGAAAGGCACAAAAGGAAGACUCUUAAGAAAUGAAGUGACGGGCUGUUCUGGUUGGAGUCACAAAGCGGGUGAGAGCAGGAGGUUGAGGCGACGCAGGGAGCUGGGAGAAAGGCCUGGAAGGGCCCAGCAGCGGGGCUGAGGGUGGCGGGGACAGGAGGGCCGACCGCCCCUUGGCGGCCACCGCUGCCAGGACACCUCCAUGUGCCAAUCACCAUUCCCUGGGCCGACUCUGGCCCUCCCAGUUCAAACCCAAGGAAGGGCCUUGAAACAUGACGACCGUUCCCCAAAAGUGACAUCUGUGUUUCCGAAAGUGGCUUUUAUGACUUCCAGAUGACAGACGGGAUCUUCCCAGACGCACAGGAGCGGCGUCUCUUCUGUGCUUCCACCUGAAAUGCCCAACAACCGGAAUCCUCAUUUCAUGGAGAGCAAUAGACCACAAAUAAAGCCCGCAGACCUGAGACGCAUUUUCCGGGGAACAGCAGAGUUCGAUGAGAAUUGCGGAGGGUUUUCCACGAGUCACUCUCCCCGUGGUUCCUAGUGCUCACCUUCAGAAAGUCACGGCCACGUUUGGUGGCAAAGCUCCCUCACAUCUCUGAUUUCCUUGCUACAAGCUGAGAUUUGCAACUUGAAGUUUGGGACCUUCAUAGACAUAGUCUUCUCAAAGAGAUUUUUAAAAGCGUUUUUUUUUUUAAAUUUUUAAUUUUUUCCCUUAAAUCGGUGUCAUUUCUAAGGAAAUCUUGCCCUCUAGCUCUCAAAUCUUAAAAUUGAGCUCAACCUAGUGACAGAGCCACACAAUGGCAGAUAAACGGACAAUGAGCGCCAUCUACUGGGUUAUUGUCAUAGUCCCCCUCAACACAAGGAAAAAGAAAAAGCCAACAGAAAGAAGGGCUGAUGGAUUAUCUCAUGCUGUGAGAUAACACUGAUGAAUGUAUAUUUUCACCGUCAGCAGAUUUCCCAUUUCGCUUAUUUGUAGAGCUACUUUCUAUUGCGUCAUCUAUAUUUCCCUCCCCUCUCUAUAAAAGACAGCUGUCACUCAUGAAGAUCACAUGAUACAUCUCCAGCAGAUGUUUAAACUUCAUUCAUUUGUCAGAAAAUUACAAAGCAGCCACUCCUCAUUUUCUCAGCAAUUCCUGCUGGGAAUAAGGGAGAACGGAGAUCGCAGAAGGUGCGUGUACUUCAGACGUAAGCCCAAAUUAGUGAAUCCACCUGAUCAGCUCCCGGACCAGCAGGAACGCAGGUGCACUCGGGAUCAGCAACUGUAGGGUUGCACUGAAGGUGCUGUGAAAGCAAGCAGGUCAGCCUGGGACAGACACCCACCUGCCCACUGCGAAUUCACUUGAUUUGACUCCACUAUUCCGUAAAUGGCAUGAAUUAUUACAUAUGAGUAAAGGAAGAGACCAGAUUCGUUCCCAAUCAUGAAAAUGCAUUGUAGGAGUUGGGAAAAAUGGAACAAUUUUGUAACCUGGAUGGGAUAGACAGGGUGAGUUGAGCCUACUGUUUUGUUCAAAAUCUAAUAACGAUGGCUACCAGUGGGGAAGACAUUUCAUUUCACACCUUCUUAUCUAAUUUUGAAAGUUGGGUCAUGUUAAUGUACUAUUAUUAUUAUUAUUAUUUUGAGACAGAGUCUCACUCUGUCACCCAGGCUGGAGUGCAGUAGCACAAUCUUGGCUCACUGCAAACUCCACCUCCUGGGUUCAAGAGAUUCUCAUGUCUCAGCUUCCCAAGUAGCUGGGACUACGGGUGUGCACCACCGCACCUGGCUAAUUUUUAUACUUUUAGUAGAAACGGGGUUUUGCUGUGUUGGUCAGGCUGGUCUUGAACUCCUGGCCUCAAGUGAUCCACCUGCCUCAGCCUCCCAAAGUGCUGGGAUUACAGGUGUGAGCCACCACUCCCAACUGUGUUAUGUAUUUUCAAAAGAAGAAUACUGCUGGCACAUGGCACAUAUUCAGUUAGUUUUGUUGAAAUAAUGGAUCUGUGAAUGAACAUAAGAAUUUUUGUUGUUUGUUGUUUUGAGACAGAGUCUCUGUUGCUCAGGCUGGGGUGCAGUGGCAUGAUCUCAGCUCACUGCAACCUCCACCUCCUGGGUUCAAACGAUUCUUUUGCCUCAGCCUCCCAAGUAGCUGGGAUUACAGGCAUGCACCACCAUGCCCGGCUAACUUUUGUAAUUUUUGUAGAGACGGGGUUUUGCCUUUGAACAUAAUAAUUUGAUAGUGACAUAUGAUGGACAUGAUGAGACUGCUGGGGUGGCCCUACAGGAAGAACAGACGCCUCACUCAGCCUAAGGGGUGAGGGUCCCUCAUGAGUCAGCCUUCUAAAGAGCGUUCUGACCGGAGUUUCCCCAGCUCUGGAUGGGAGGGUACUCAGGUGAGGGGCCGCUAGGCAUUCAUUCAUUCACCCCUUAAAUACUUGCUAGGUGUUGCUUUGUGCAGGGUGCUGCACUCAGUACCAUGGAUAUAAAAGAGAACAAGGCAGAUGUGGUUCCUGCCCUCAGGGAGCUUACUGUCUUAGGCAGACUGAAUUCUUGGGUGUCUCGGCAGAGGGCACCCAAGGUGCACCUCUUGGGUGAGGGCAGCUCCCCUCAGUUUGGCUUCUAGCCCAGCUCUCUUGUGGGACUGUCUUGGGACCAGAGCAUGAUCAUCAGGAAAUCACACACGAGUCAUAACUCUACAGUUUCCAAUGUAAAGUUGUGAACGUGGAGUCCAGCAGGACCUGCAGCUCAUGGGGCUGGUUCUCUCAGCUCUCACUUUUUUCACUUAUGGGAGAAAGAAACUUCCAGGUCAUAGAGAGCAGACAAGAAGCACCCCAUUGACAAAGUUUGGGUGCUCUAAGCAGCAGUGAGGAAAACAGAUGUGGUUUUUCUGGCGGUAAAGGGGUAGCAAUGUGGAGACUGCCUAUCGUUUUUGACGUUUUACAAAGCACCCCGUCCCAUCCAUAUCCCUCUCCCCAUGGCCGUCUGCUUUGGGCUCCGGAGGGGAGUUUGACAGUGAUAGUCCAGUGGUCUUCCCAGCUUGUAAGGCACAGAAAUAUAGUUUGUUACUGUUUAUUGUAAACUAAUUGAACUCAUGAGAUGAUAACCUGGAAAACAUGUGGCAACUCAAUCUGUAUCUUGCAAAAAUAAGAGAUUUAUGUGCUCAGAUUAAAACUGACCUUCUAUUAAAGUUAUGUGUUUGAGAUUAAUUCCAAAACCGUAGCAGCAGUCCUGAUAAAAUGGAAAGUUUCCCGGAGCCUCUGAAGCUCAUUUACAGAAACAGACUUAGCUACCAGCUCGGCUGCAAAGUAAGAAUGUGGGUAGGAAAAGAUGGUAGAGAGAGAGAGAGAUGGUUCCCCGUGUGAAACUGCAGUGAUCUUAAUCCUCCAGACAGAGCAAAUCUAAUUUUAAAACACUCCUUUCUAUCCUAAGUCAUUCCCUUGGUGGCCCACAGCCCAAGAAGUGACCAAAAUCAGUAAUAAUAUUUCCAACAAUAAUUAGAGUUUACUAUGCUCAGAUAUUCCAUUUAUGUUUGCCUGGGCCCUGUGAGAAGGCAUCACUGCCCCGUGUUAAUGAUAAGUCACAGCUCUGUGCCUUGGCUUAGGUGGCCAUGCUCACAGGUGAGGGAGUUAGAGCUCCCACUAAAUCUUUUGGCACCACAUUUUCUGCACGUCCCGCCAUGCACAUGGUGAUCUCAGAAGGGCACCCCGUUUGAGGACUCUCCUCCUCCUGUCAUCACACUCACUCAUGAUGAAGCCCACCAUGUGUACGUAUUUAGCACUUUGAACUUGACCUGAUGUGGAUGUGCCAGGCGGUGCCCUGGGCGGUGGGAAUACAGACGUGAAAAGCAAUCCAAAGCAAAUUGUUCUGGAUAAAGAAACAGGUUCAGGGGAGUGAAGUGGUUUUCCUAAAGCCACACAGGUGGUGAACGGCUUUGCGUAAAGUCGUGGUAUUGUCAACCUUCCGUGAGUGCUCCGUUGUGGCUCUCUCCCGCAUCAGAGUAUAAGCUCCCAACGGGCAGAGAUCAUCCCUAACUCACAGGCCAUUGAGCAACCUGCCUAGAACAUUGGGUAGAUGCUAAAAAAUAAACCCCGAGACUCACAAAAUGACUUGCGAGUGACAGUGUAAGCACUUACAGGGUUACACGGGGUUAAAUAAAAUAUGAGCGAGAGAGGAGACCUAAAGAAACAGACUCUCCAUAGUGCCUUCACUCUAUGCUUAUUUAUACCUUAACUCAUCCCCAAAGUGGACUAAAAGAAAUUAUUCUAUGUUUUCUUCCAGAGUAACGUGGCUUGGUAUCAUAGAUAGCAAUUAUCUCGUUUAACCUUCAUGGCAUGUGACUGUGUGGAAUCCUGCAGGCAAUUGGGGCACUGUGGCGACUGUUUGCAUAUCUAAACAUAUCUAAGCAUAGAAAAAGGAUAGUAAAAACCCAGUAUUAUAAUAUUAUGGGACCACCAUCAUAUAUGCGGUCCAUCGCUGAGAUGUUGUUAUGUGGUGUGUGACUGUACAACUCCAGAAAGGUGUUAUGAUUCUCUUAAGCAGCCUCUUGAGGGAGGAAUAUGUUGUUGUCAUUGUUUUGGAUAAAUAAAUAAGCUCAGGGCUGGGUGCGGUGGCUCACACCUGUAAUCCCAGCACUUUGGGAGGCCAAAGUGGGUGCAUUGCUUGAGGCCAGGAGUUUGAGACCAGCUUGGCCAACAUGGUGAAACCCUGUCUCUACUAAAAAUACAAAAAUUAGCCAGGUAUGGUGGUGUGCACCUGUAGUCCCAGCUACUCAGGAGGCUGAGGCAGGAGAAUUGCUUGAGCCUGGGAGGUGGAGGCUGCAGUGAGCUGAGAUCAUGCCAUUGCACUUCAGCCUGGGCGACAGAACAAGACCCUGUCAAAAAAAGAAACAAAGAAAGAAGGAAGGGAGGGAGGGAGGGAGGAAGGAAGGAAGGGAAAAGAAGGAAGGAAAGAAAGGAAGGAAGGAAGAGAGAGAAAGAGAAAAGAAGGAAGAAAGAAGAAGGAAGGCAGGAAAGAAGGAAGGAAGCGAGAGAGAGAGAGAAAGGAAGGAAGGAAGGAAGGAAGGAAGGAAGGAAGGAAGGAAGGAAGGAAGGAAGGAAGGAAGAAGGUUCAGAGGGGUGAAGUGGUUUUCCCAAAGCCACACAGGUGGUGAACAGCUUAGCUAGACUGGCUCAAAGUCUGUUGAGUAACUCAGUGCUCCUGGCACCCCUUCUCACUGCUUCUCCAUCAGGGACUUUGGAGACAAAAUAUCAUAGCCUCCUGGGUGUAGGGUGGAGAAAACAGAGGUCCGGGCCCACAGGUCUUGUUGGUAGGUGAGUGGGGAGCUGAGUGACAUUGGAGGGGCCUCCACCCGGCCCAUGGGCAGGAGAUUUCACAGGGCUGUGAGUGGCCCCUGGAAGACCCAGGGCUAACUGACCUGACAGCAGGUCACCUCCCACAGCGUUGCCAGUGGCAAGCUAUGGGUUUCACAUCUGGCUGUUGAUACAGUCAUUGAGUGUGGUACGAUGACAAAUAAGGAGGCAGAAGUUAAUGAUGUGUCGCCUGGUUAAGCAGGGCUUGCCACGCCUCAUUAGAUUUAAAAGAGUUAUCUGAGACAGGGUAAUUAUCAGAGACAGUAAAACUGUUGUAUUAAAAGAUAAAAAAGCCAGUAUCAAAGAGAAAUAAUUAACUGCUUAAUAGGACAUGUGUUGAGCUGCUUGGCUUGGUCCCGGGAAUCAGACUCUGAGAGGCUGCAGGGGACCUUUCGGCAGGGUGGGGCCUCCCACGACCCAAGCCAUUUGGGAUCACACCCUUCUAACUGGACUUUCAGCGUGGACUGGGAUCAAAGGAGGGAAGUCACAUGAGAAAAAUCAAGGUCAUCCCACACAAACUAUAUUGAUGGGCACUUCAAUUUCUUUCUUUUUCUUUUUCUUUUUUUUUUUUUUUUUGGGGAGAUGAGUGUCACUCUGUCACCAGGCUGGAGUGCAGUGGUGUGAUACCAGCUCACUGCAACCUCCGCCUCCCGGGUUCCAGUGAUUCUCCUGCCUCAGCCUCCUGAGUAGCUGGGACUACUCGGGCGUGCCACCACACCCAGCUAAUUUUUGCAUUUUUGGUAGAGACGGUGUUUCACCAUUUUGGCCAGGAUGGUCUCGAUCUCUUGACCUCAUGAUCUGCCUGCCUCGGGCUCCCAAAGUGCUGGGAUUACAGGCCUGAGCCACUGAGCCCGGCCAAACAUCAAUUUCUUUCUUUCAUUUUUUUUUUGACACGGA
rnacentral:lncRNA from 1 species